UACGUAGGGUGCAAGCGUUGUCCGGAAUUAUUGGGCGUAAAGAGCGUGUAGGCGGCCCGACCAGUCCGCUGUGAAAGUCCAGGGCUCAACCCUGGAAUGCCGGUGGAUACUGUCGAGCUAGAGUCCGGAAGAGGCGAGUGGAAUUCCUGGUGUAGCGGUGAAAUGCGCAGAUAUCAGGAGGAACACCAAUGGCGAAGGCAGCUCGCUGGGACGGUACUGACGCUGAGACGCGAAAGCGUGGGGAGCAAACAGG
rnacentral:rRNA from 1 species